UUGCAUUGACCUCUGUCCAUCUGCCAGG
rnacentral:piRNA from 1 species